UAGCUCAGAUGGUAAAGCAUCUGCCUACAAUGCAGGAGACCCAGGUUCAAUCUCUGG
rnacentral:tRNA from 1 species